GACAGUGCCUCUGAUCUUCUCAUGACUUAAACGCGAUGGAAGGCUCUUGAAGACGCAUUUAUAUUACAUAUUGGGAGGUACAGAAGCUCAGGCAGAAAGGUGUUAAAUGGUUUGCAGAAUUGUUGGGAAGGCUAAGCUUCCAGGAGCAGCUCCCAAAGUCUCCACACACAACUGGACCACCAGGGAACCUGCUCCCUCCACCAGGACAGGACUUGGAAACCUGCCACCGCAAUUACCAGCACCAGAAGGAUCUUGUCUCUGCUAAGUCUCUGUCGACAUAGUGAAUACCCUGUGCCCUGCCUCUCUCUCCCUGACUCAGGUCCCAUUCCAGGUCUUGCCCAAGUCUUUCUGAUUGGUGGGACUUAAAUCACACCCAAAAUUCCAGCUGCAGGAGAGCUCUGAGAUUUCAUCUUUCCAACCUCUGUGUGCUACGUGGGGGUUGGAGCACUUGCUGACAAGCCUUGCAACCACCAUUGACAGGAUGUCCUCCACCUUUUCAAUCUGAUUUGCUCUUUGCCAUGCAGACCUGUGGAUGAAGAGCCAGAGUCCUCCAAGGUGAAGCUGGACUGAAUAUUUCUGUCCAUAAGACUAUUAGAAUCCCCCAAAGUGGGAUACCAGUGAGGACCUCACCAGCAGCUGCUGUCUCUCCAAUGCAGCUCCACAGGGCCUGUGAGCAGGGCUGGCUAUGAGAUCCUGCCCUGAAGAGCAGUACUGGGCUGCUCUGCUAGGCACCUGCAUGUCCUGCAAAGCCAUCUGCAACCAUCAGAGCCAGCGCACCUGUGCAGCCUCCUGCGCUCUGCUGACAAGCUCAAUCACGGUGUCAUUUUACUGCCACCACGCCCGAAAGUACACCAAAUGUAAAGCAGAGGCAGACGAGACAAGAUGCAGGCUCCACCAGAGGCCACUCCAGCUUCGCGACCAACACCCUUGGCUGCCAGGCAGCGGUAGCCAGGCAAUGGGAUAGAAGGCAAAGAAAAUACGAGGGACAGAACCCAUCAGACACCGGCAGACACUGCAUUUACUCCAGACUGAGAUGACAGACACACCGUAUGAGCUGCAGCACAACUCUCCUCCGCUGCGCCCACUGCCAGCCACCAGCAGACACCAAGGCACCCAGAGGAGCCAGGCACACAGGGCGGGCAGCAACAUAAACGGCACCCAUUAAAAAGCAAGACUCGCUCUUGAGAC
ensembl:lncRNA CCDC144NL-AS1 CCDC144NL antisense RNA 1